AACGAACGCUGGCAGCAGGCCUAACACAUGCAAGUCGAACGAGAAGCCACCUUCGGGUGGUGGAAAGUGGCAGACGGGUGAGUAACGCGUGGGAACGUGCCUUUCGGUUCGGGAUAACCCAGGGAAACUUGGGCUAAUACCGGAUACGCCCUCCGGGGGAAAGAUUCAUUGCCGAAAGAUCGGCCCGCGUCGGAUUAGCUAGUUGGUAGGGUAAUGGCCUACCAAGGCGACGAUCCGUAGCUGGUCUGAGAGGAUGACCAGCCACACUGGGACUGGGACACGGCCCAGACUCCUACGGGAGGCAGCAGUGGGGAAUAUUGGACAAUGGGCGAAAGCCUGAUCCAGCCAUGCCGCGUGGGUGAAGAAGGCCUUAGGGUUGUAAACCCCUUUCAGCGGGGAAGAUAAUGACGGUACCCGCAGAAGAAGUCCCGGCUAACUCCGUGCCAGCCGCCGCGGUAAAAC
rnacentral:rRNA from 1 species